rnacentral:lncRNA from 1 species
CAAGAUGGAUUUGCACUCGAAGUUCCUAUCGGUUGCCUAGCUGUCCCUUUUCUCUUCAACUGUCUCUCCACCUUCAUAGCCACAUGCAACAUGUCUUCCAACUCCACAUAAUGUUGCAACUCUACUACAUUGGCAAUUUCCCUAUUCAAACCAUUCAAAAAUCGUGCCAUGGUAGCCUCUCGAUCCUCCACCACAUUAGCCCUAAUCAUGAGUAUUUCCAUC